rnacentral:rRNA from 1 species
AUUUUAAUUCUAGCCUACUAACUCUCCUCCUUAACAUGCAUCCUAAAACAUUAUUUUAUGUUAGUAUGGGCGACAGAAAACAUUUUAGCGCAAUAGACAAAGUACUGCAAAGGAAAGAUGAAAUAGAAAUGAAAUAAACUAUAAAAAUAAAAAAAAGCAAAGACUUUUACUUUUACCUUUUGCAUUAUGGUCUAGUUAGUCAACAUCAACAAAAAGAAUUUUAGUUUUAUUCCCCGAAACCAGACGAGCUAUCUUAGGACAGCAAAAGCAAACCCUUCUCUGUAGCAAAAGAGUGGAAAGAUCCUAAAAUAGAGGCGAAAAACCCAACGAGCCUGGAGAUAGCUGGUUACUUGAGAAUGAAUUUUAGUUCAACUAAGAACACACGUUACUUAUCUAAGAAAAACUUAUGCUCUUAUUAUAAUUAAUUGAGGUACAGCCCAAUUAACUUAGGAAACACCCUAUAUAAAUAAAUAAAGAUUAUAAUAUAUUAGGAAUAAAUAAUAUUGUUGGCCUAAAAGCAGCCCCCAAGAAAGCGUCAAAGCUCAACUUCUUAAUUCUUAUCAUUUCACUAAAUUAUCUUAAUUUACAGAAUAAAUCAAGUAAAUCUAUUUAAUAGAUAAAUAACUGCUAGAAUUAGUAACAAGGAAUGAAACCCUCUAUAAUGUAUGCGUAAAUCAGAAUAAACAAAAUACUGAUAAUUAUAAAAUAUUUUUUUACAAGUUUAAAAUAUUUUAACACGUUAAUCCAACACAGGGACAUUAAAGAAAGAUCUAAAAUUUAAAAAGGAACUCGGCAAAUAUUAAAGCUUCGCCUGUUUACCAAAAACAUCGCCUCUUGAUUAAUUUAUAUAAGAGGUCCUGCCUGCCCAGUGACACCUGUUCAACGGCCGCGGUAUUAUGACCGUGCAAAGGUAGCGUAAUCACUUGUCCCUUAAAUAGAGACCAGUAUGAAUGGCAAAACGAAGGCUCAACUGUCUCUUUAAAUUCAUCAGUAAAAUUGAUCUCUUCGUGCAGAAGCGAAGAUACUUCUAUAAGACGAGAAGACCCUAUGGAGCUUUAAGCUAAAAUUAACUAUACCUAUUAAAAUAUAAUAAAUAAUGUAAUUUACAAGCCUUAGGUUGGGGUGACCACGGGAUAAACCUAUCUCCCGAAAUAAAUAACUUAGAAGGACACUUUUAAAUAAUAAUAUAAUUAAUAUAAUUGACCCAAUAUUUGAUCAACGAACCAAGUUACCCUAGGGAUAACAGCGCAAUCCUUUCAUAGAGUCCCUAUCGACGAAUGGGUUUACGACCUCGAUGUUGGAUCAGGACCCCCAAAUGGUGUAGCAGCUAUUAAAGGUUCGUUUGUUCAACGAUUAAAGUCCUACGUGAUCUGAGUUCAGACCGGAGCAAUCCAGGUCAGUUUCUAUCUAUAACAAGAUAUUCCCAGUACGAAAGGACCGGAAAAACAAGGCCUAUUAAAAAUUUAAGCCUUCCUACUCAUCCCUGAAAGCAAAUAAAGAGAAGAAAAGAAAAACCACUUGUCUAAUCGACUU